UGUCUUUGGCAAGGAGAACUUGUCUCUGCUCUAUCUGUGGAGUACAUGUCCUAUAGUUUCUGAAUACAUCUCGCUUUCACUUUAUACUGUUGGCUCACUCCUGAACUCUUGCUUGUGUGAAACCAAGGACCCACUUGGACUUCAAGAGGCUCCCAACAUUGGGAGUCACUUUCCUGUGUCACAUUCAACAGAAUGACAGGCUAUAUCAAAUGUCACCACCCAAAGGGAUCAUCUGGAGGAGAGAAGUGUGAGUCAUGCUAAUAAAAAGAGAAGUUCAGAAGAGUAAUUGAGGAAAUCAGUUAAUGCAACCUAGAAUGGCUGCCUGUUGCCCAAGAUGUCUUGCAAUUAAUUACUCCACUUAAAAAGAAUUCACUGAUCUCAGAAUGCUGCUUUUUUGAGGAGACUCAGAGAAGAUCUAGUAAUGUUUCGUGCAUCCCUUGGGACUCUCUAUACUUCGCUACCAUGAAUGAUCUGGAGUAAUGGAAUUAAACAAGGUUGGCUCUAAAGCUUGUGGAGAAAUGAAGCAUUGGGAAAUAAAGCUGUGGUAAACCUUAACUACAUGAAGAUGGUAGAGGUAUGUGAAUUCCUAUUUUAUAGAAUCAGUCUAUCUGUUAAGAGGCGUUUGGUGCCAAGCCCCACAGGAAACCUAAUCAAUUGAUCUAUCCAGUAAGAAGGACUGAGUAUUUCCCGUAAUAGAAAGUCUCAAGCUCUGUCAGUGCAGCAACCCGUGAUGUUCCCAAGGCCAAAAGCAGUGGCAUCUCUUCCUUCUGCUGUCCUGUUUCUGCCACGUGGACUCCCAGCGCGACCCUUCCUGCUCACGAGAUGGCUGCUGCGGUUCUGAAGCCACAUCCUCCAUAGCGGAAUGGGGAGGCUGCCCCCUUCACCAUUCUCUGCUCACCUAUAGGCUCCUGCACCUGCUCAUCUCUCAUAAGAUGUCAGAAGAUAACGGUACCAUAACUGAAAUAAGACUGUGGAAAUGGUAUUAGACAAAAAGCAAAUUCGAGUG